rnacentral:sRNA from 1 species
UGCUGCCAACCAAUCUAUUGCUGCUAAGCUAUCCCUCGCUGCUAAGCUAUCCCUCGCUGCUAAGCUAUCGCCGCUGCCAAUCUAUCUACUGCUGCAAGCUAUCCCUCGCUGCUAAGCUAUCCCUCGCUGCUAAGCUAUCGCCGCUGCCAACCUAUCUAUUGCUGCAAGCUAUCCCUCGCUGCUAAGCUAUCGCUGCCAACCUAUCUAUCGCUGCCAACCUAUCUAUCGCUGCCAAUUUAUCUACCACUGCCAAUCUAUCUAUUGCUGCUAAUCUAUCGCUGCUGUCAAUCUAUCUAUCGCUGCUAAUCUAUCUAUCGCUGCUAAUCUAUCGCCGCUGCCAAUCUAUCCCUCACUGCUAAGCUAUCCCUCACUGCUAAUCUAUCUAUCGCUGCUAAUCUAUCGCCGCUGCCAAUCUAUCCCUCACUGCUAAGCUAUCCCUCGCUGCUAAGCUAUCACUGCCAAUCUAUCGCUGCUAAUCUAUCGCUGCCAACCUAUCUACCGCGGCGAAUCUAUCUAUCGCUGCCAAUUUAUCUACCACUGCCAAUCUAUCUAUCGCUGCUAAUCUAUUGCUGCUGCUAAUCUAUCUAUCGCUGCUAAUCUAUCGCUGCUAAUCUAUCGCUGCUAAUCUAUCGCUGCUAAUCUAUCGCUGCCAACCUAUCUACCGCGGCGAAUCUAUCUAUCACUAUCAUUACUAGUUCAAAAUAGAACUAGAGCAUAAACACACUAAACUUCUUUUGAUAGGUAAUGAUUUUUGGUAACGCUCAUAGCAUUAUAUCAUCUAUAUAGGGUAAAUCAUGGUCCCAUUUGGUCCCAUUUUAACAAAAUGGGACCAAAUGGGACCAGAAUCAGUAAUUUAUAAGAAGAACAUGACCUGGGACUAGAUUUAUAAUAUAAACAGUGUAAAGUGACUAAUUUAAUAAACACUAUAUGGGACCAGAACUAAGAAAUUUGAUAAUGGAACUGGAGAAAUAUUUAGUCCCAGUCCCAUGCAUGGUCACACAGCCAGUCUAUCUACAAUAAAGCACACAAUGUUAGUUAAAACAUGUAAUGUUAGUUAAAAACAUGUAAGAUGAUUUUGAUAUGUGUAAGAUUUUUUGAAAAUCAAUCUGAAUCUUCUACUGCCUCUGAUGAUCACAAUGUGUGUUUGCAACAGUUGAAUGAUCAAAUUUGUGAAUGAGAGCAGCAAUUAGCUAUUCUGCAUGCACAACAGCAGCUCAAUAAGUUGAAAGUGCAGAUUUGUGAAGAUACUCUCAUCAAAUCUCAAUUAACUCAGAAUAUCAUCACAGAAUCACUGUAAAAUCAAUCUGCAAAUAAUAUAGACAAUGAUAAUGAAACAUCACUGAAAUUGAAGAUUAAGAACUAUUAUUGAGAAAAAAAUAUGUUAGAAUUUAAGAAUUAUAAAGAUUGCAUAUUGACUCUCUUUACACACUACUGCUGAUAUUAUUGAAAGAAAGAACACAAAAUAAAUGAUGCUAAACUCUAUCUUGACACUCACAUUAAGCAGAAAUGAUUGAAUUUUGUAUCAUUGUAUAAGAGACAUGGAGAAGUGACACUGUUGAUUUUUGAUGAUAUACUAUCAUAUCUAGAAAUGCAAAUUAACAAUCCACAGAAUCAGUACUGAUUGACAAGUCAAAAAUUUCAAGAUACAAAACAACAAGAAUGACAAUCAAUAUACAAUUUCUCUAAAUAUUUCAAAGACUGAGAAUACUACUUACCUUCAUAUAGUGAAGAACAAAGAAUGGAUAAUUUGUGUAGUAAGAUAUUGAAAAUACUACACACUGAACUUAAUCAUUGAAAUCAAGAGUUUCAGAACUACAAAGAGUUGUUUUGAACUCUACAGACUCUUGAGAAAAAUAUAUCAGAGCAACAGCAUACUAUUCACAAAGAAAAAUCUACAAUAUUUGUAGAGAAUCAGCAUCAUUCUGAUAAAUCUAGCAAUCAUUGAAAUAAGAGAAAACAAGAGGAACAAAUGAGUUCAACUGAACAAAUCAAGAAAAAUAAAUAUAACUGAAUGAAGAAGUGUUCUCACUGUUAUAAAAAGAGUCAUAUUGCAAAUGAUUGUUGAAUAUUACAUCUCAAAAAGUAUAAUCAAGUUCAAUAAGCAAAAAAUCAACAAUUUCAAUCAUAGAAGCAGCUGCUGCAUUGAGAAUACAAACAACUAAACUGCAAGAUAAAUGAUUAUUGACAAUGAAUAUGUGAAUACUGACAGAAGUGAGAUGAUCAAUGAUGUGAAUGCUAGUGAAUUCUGAUGUGAAUGUGAACUUUGUAUCUCACAUCUGAGCAUCAAAAUAUUUCUUGAAGACAGAAGAUAAAUCAAAAGUAGUGAAAGCAGUUGAUAAUUAUAAGAUUAAAUUAUAUAAACAACAAAGAGCUGCAAUGAAGAUUAUCAAUGAUAAACAUAUUCUCUGAGAAGAAUUCCAUCAUUUUGAAGAGGCUGAUAUUAGCAGAUAUAAUAUAAUUUUGAGCAUGCUGUGAUUGAAAGCUGUGAACUCUGAUAUCAACUGAAUGUGAAGAUGCUGAAUCUAUAGAAAAGUAUUGAAUAUUAAUCAUAUACAUCUAGAUACUAUAACUAUUGCACGUUGAACUCCGCUGGGGUUCACCUGUUUUGCUAACAAAUUAAGUUCACACUAACCAGAAAUAGCUUAGCUCCCUUAGGGUUACUUGGAGUAAACCUCCGCUGACCUUCAAAGUUAGUGUUUUGGCAUUUGCUUGGGUGGAUUUUUAACAUUUCAUCAAAUUACUCCAUCAAUACUGGGUCAAAUCAACUCAGAUUUUGAUCAGAGAUAGAUCUAUUUUAUGUUGAUAAUCUAUUAAAAUUUUGUUUAAUUUGAUCCACAGUUGCUUGAGUUAUUCUUGAUUCUCUGUUUGAAAAAACUCUGAUCAAUUUUCGUGUUCCAACACACCCGUGCCAAGUCCCCCCUGAGUACCUCCCAGCCACACGUGCCUGCCAAGUAACAAAAAGAUACCUCAGCACAAUUAGCUAGUGCAUACUCUGCUAAGCUAUCCCUCACUGCUAAGCUAUCCCUCACUGCUAAGCUAUCCCUCGCUGCUACGCUAUCCCUCACUGCUAAGCUAUCCCUUGCUGCUACGCUAUCCCUCACUGCUAAGCUAUCCCUCACUGCUAAGCUAUCCCUCGCUGCUAAGCUAUUCCUUGCUGCUAAGCUAUCCCUCGCUGCUAAGCUAUCCAUCGCUGCUAAGCUAUCGCUCGCUGCUAAGCUAUCCCUCGCUGCUAAGCUAUCCCUUGCUGCUAAGCUAUCCCUCACUGCUAAGCUAUCCCUCGCUGCUAAGCUAUUCCUUGCUGCUAAGCUAUCCCUCGCUGCUAAGCUAUCCAUCGCUGCUAAGCUAUCGCUCGCUGCUAAGCUAUCCCUCGCUGCUAAGCUAUCCCUCACUGCUAAGCUAUCCCUUGCUGCUAAGCUAUCCCUUGCUGCCAAUUUAUCUACCACUGCUAAGCUAUCUCUCACUGCUAAGCUAUCCCUUGCUGCUAAGCUAUUCCUUGCUGCUAAGCUAUCCCUUGCUGCUAAGCUAUCUCUUGCUGUCAAUUUAUCUACCACUGCUAAUCUAUCUCUCACUGCUAAGCUAUCCCUUGCUGCCAAUCUAUUGCUGCUAAUCUAUCACUGCUAAUCUAUCACUGCUAAUCUAUCACUGCUAAUCUAUUGCUGCUGUCAAUCUAUCACUGCUAAUCUAUCACUGUCAAUCAAUCUACUGCAGUGAAUCUAUCUAUCACUAUCAUUACUAGUUCAAAAUAGAACUAGAGUAUAAAUACAUUAAACUUCUUUUAAUAGAUAAUGAUUUUUAAUAAG